UACGUAGGGUGCGAGCGUUGUCCGGAAUUGUUGGGCGUAAAGGGCUCGUAGGCGGUUUGUCGCGUCGGGAGUGAAAUCCACUGGCUUAACUGGUGGCUUGCUUUCGAUACGGGCAGACUGGAGGUAUGCAGGGGAGAACGGAAUUCCUGGUGUAGCGGUGAAAUGCGCAGAUAUCAGGAGGAACACCGGUGGCGAAGGCGGUUCUCUGGGCAUGUCCUGACGCUGAGGAGCGAAAGUGUGGGGAGCGAACAGG
rnacentral:rRNA from 1 species